rnacentral:rRNA from 1 species
CAGUAGCCGCGGUAACACGAGGGGGGCAAGCGUUGUUCGGAAUUAUUGGGCGUAAAGGGUGCGUAGGCGGUUUGAUAAGUCUUGUGUGAAAUCUAUGGGCUCAACCCAUAGUCUGCAUAGGAAACUGUCGGGCUUGAGAGUGGGAGAGGUGAGUGGAAUUUCCGGUGUAGCGGUGAAAUGCGUAGAUAUCGGAAGGAACACCUGUGGCGAAAGCGGCUCACUGGACAAUAACUGACGCUGAGGCACGAAAGCUAGGGGAGCAAACAGGAUUAGAUACCCCCGUAGUCCCUGUCUCUUAUAC